rnacentral:rRNA from 1 species
UGGGGAAUAUUGCACAAUGGGCGCAAGCCUGAUGCAGCCAUGCCGCGUGUAUGAAGAAGGCCUUCGGGUUGUAAAGUACUUUCAGCGAGGAGGAAGGCGUUGUGGUUAAUAACCGCAGCGAUUGACGUUACUCGCAGAAGAAGCACCGGCUAACUCCGUGCCAGCAGCCGCGGUAAUACGGAGGGUGCAAGCGUUAAUCGGAAUUACUGGGCGUAAAGCGCACGCAGGCGGUCUGUCAAGUCGGAUGUGAAAUCCCCGGGCUCAACCUGGGAACUGCAUCCGAAACUGGCAGGCUUGAGUCUUGUAGAGGGGGGUAGAAUUCCAGGUGUAGCGGUGAAAUGCGUAGAGAUCUGGAGGAAUACCGGUGGCGAAGGCGGCCCCCUGGACAAAGACUGACGCUCAGGUGCGAAAGCGUGGGGAGCAAACA